rnacentral:rRNA from 1 species
UACGUAGGGGGGCAAGCGUUGUCCGGAUUUAUUGGGCGUAAAGAGCGUGUAGGCGGUUUGGUAGGUCCGCUGUGAAAACUCGAGGCUCAACCUCGAGACGCCGGUGGAAACCAUCAGACUAGAGUCCGGAAGAGGAGAGUGGAAUUCCUGGUGUGAGCGGUGAAAUGCGCAGAUAUCAGGAAGAACACCCGUGGCUAAGGCGGCUCUCUAGUACGGUACUGACGCUGAGACGCGAAAGCGUGGGGAGCGAACAGG